rnacentral:rRNA from 1 species
GAUGAACGCUGGCGGCGUGCCUAAUACAUGCAAGUCGAGCGAACAGACGAGGAGCUUGCUCCUCUGACGUUAGCGGCGGACGGGUGAGUAACACGUGGAUAACCUACCUAUAAGACUGGGAUAACUUCGGGAAACCGGAGCUAAUACCGGAUAAUAUAUUGAACCGCAUGGUUCAAUAGUGAAAGACGGUUGUGCGGUCACGUAUAGAUGGAUACGGGCCGCAUGAGCUAGUUGGUAAGGUAACGGCUUACCAAGGCAACGAUGCGUAGCCGACCGGAGAGGGUGGUCGGCCACCUGGGAACGGAAACACGGUCCAUGCUCCUACGGGAGGCAGCAGUAGGGAAUCUUCCGCAAUGGGCGAAAGCCUGACGGAGCAACGCCGCGUGAGUGAUGAAGGUCUUCGGAUCGUAAAACUCUGUUAUUAGGGAAGAACAAAUGUGUAAGUAACUAUGCACGUCUUGACGGUACCUAAUCAGAAAGCCACGGCUAACUACGUG